GGCUGUGGGCUUUGGCGGGCACAGGGCUGAGAGUCGGAGGUGGGGUAAAGCCACCCAGGAAGCCUGGGGUGCAGACCCGGAGCUCCAGUUUCCUCCAGAAUGAGCAAUUCCACGUUUUGAAAAUGACUGUCUUCAACCAUUACAGAGUCGAAUGCAAACGCUCAUCAGUUUUAAGAUGCUGGUCCUGAAACAGCAGCGUGGACCCUCCCUCAGCGUGGAGCCUCACUCCUGCCCAUCUCACCGCGUGCCUGUCGUCUCAUGUCCCUGCUGCAGGGCAGGGACCCCGCCUGGUAACACCGGGACAGCCACCCGGACAGCGCUGGGACUGGUGGCAGCCAGAACACGACGGACACCCAGCCCCUACCUGUGCAGGCCGGGGGACAAGACCACAAGCAGAUUCCUUUGGGGGAUCCCCAAAAUUCCAACCCAGGAGUUAAUACCACAACGCUACAUAUGCAGUCCCAGACAACCUCCCGCUGUGUGAAAUCAUGCAUUUAGAAACAGAUACAACAAAACACCAAUUAAAAACAAAACAGCGCUACUGGUAAAAAAGGGUCAGGGCAGAUUGCUCGAACCCUAUGAAAUUGUGAUCAAAGCACUUGUGGAAAAACCGCAAUUGCUCUAAAAACCCCUCCCCGUACAAUCCAGUGUCAUGGUCAGAGACUCCCUCGAGCCUGGAAACUC
rnacentral:lncRNA from 1 species